AUUGAACGCUGGCGGCAGGCCUAACACAUGCAAGUCGAACGAGUGGCCGACGGGUGAGUAAUGUCUGGGAAACUGCCCGAUGGAGGGGGAUAAAUAAUGGAAACGGUAGCUAAUACCGCAUACCAUCGGAUGUUCCCAGAUGGGAUUAGCUCGUAGGUGGGGUAACGGCUCACGUAGGCGACGAUCCCUAGCUGGUCUGAGAGGAUGACCAGCCACACGGGAACUGAGACACGGGCAAGACUCCUACGGGAGGAAGCAGAGGGGAAUAUUGCACAAUGGGCGCAAGCCUGAUGCAGCCAGGCCGCGUGUAUGAAGAAGGCCUUCGGGUUGUAAAGUACUUUCAGCGAGGAGGCGGUACUCGCAGAAGAAGCACCGGCUAACUCCGUGCCAGCAGCCGCGGUAAUAC
rnacentral:rRNA from 1 species